CGGGGUGUAGCGCAGCUGGUAGCGCGCCUGCUUUGGGAGCAGGAUGCCGUGGGUUCGAAUCCCGCCACUCCGACCA
rnacentral:tRNA from 3 species